rnacentral:rRNA from 1 species
AGAGAGAGACAUGCGCGCAUAUCAAUAAGCGGAGGAAAAGAAACUAACAAGGAUUCCCUUAGUAUCGGCGAGUGAAGCGGGAAGAGCUCAAAUUUGAAAUCUUCAAGGUUCUACCUUGACGAAUUGUAGUUUAUAGAAGUGUUUUCUGUUAGUGGAGUGGCAAAAGUUCUUUGGAAUAGGACAUCAUAGAGGGUGAGAAUCCCGUAUUUGGUCAUUCCUCCUAGCGUUGUGAUACACUUUCAACGAGUCGGAUUGUUUGGGAAUGCAGUCCAAAAUGGGUGGUAAAUUUCAUCUAAAGCUAAAUAUUGGCGAGAGACCGAUAGCGAACAAGUACCGUGAGGGAAAGAUGAAAAGAACUUUGAAAAGAGAGUUAAACAGUACGUGAAAUUGUCAAAAGGGAAGCGUUUGACACCAGUGUUGUUUUUCCGAAAAUCAAUUACGAAUGUUUUAUUUUUGAGGAGUUAUGACUUCAUCGGCUUGCUCCUUCCUUUACGAAACUUUCUUAAUGCACUUUUCGGUUAACAAGUCAACAUCAAUUUCUUUUGUUGUAAAAGGGUAUGAGGAAGGUGGCUUUCUUUUCGGAGAAAGUGUUUAUAGCCUUGUGCCUCUGCAAUCGGAGAGAUUGAGGUCUGCAGCGUAGAUCCUUCGGGGUUAGAUACGUUUGUGCUAAGUUAUAGCUUUUCAUAGACAACUUGUUGACUAUGUUUAGUCUUGUAGCUUACUCGCUGACGCUAUUUUACCUACGCUUAGGAUGUUGAUAGUCACAGCGUGUAC